UCUGUCUUUGGCGAGAUGAAAGGGCUCAGCCAGCUACAGAAUGCCUCCACCAGCAUCAGGCUUCCAGUGAAUCACAUCAAAAGCCUCCCUGCCAGGGCUAGCCCCUUCCAGCUGGGGGCAGAUGGGCUCAUUAGAAGCAGGAAGAGUACGUUGUUUACAUUAGGUGGUGCUGAUUUACAAGCGAGGAGCUGCCAUUUUCUUCAGCACCGCUCAGGAGAGCCCUCCACUUGCCCAGAAUGGCUCCUUUGAAGCUGCACAGCAUACAGAAAAGGAGCUUAAGAAUUCUAGCCAUCCAGAUCUCAAACAGCGAAUCCUCAAUGCAGGCAAGUUGAAGAGAAAUCAGUCGCCUCAGCAAAGACAUGGAGAGAGCUGUUCGGUGCGCAUCAAUCAGUGGAGUCAGAUCUCGGGCUGUCUCAGGAUGAUGGAGCUUAAGGAGAUGAUGGAACUUUCAUGGCUCUCUGGUUAUCUUUGUGAUUCUGUGUCUGCCUGUGCUUCAUCUGGGAGAAUGGUAAUGCCACCACGAGCCUUGUCCUCAGCAAGCAGAAUGACCAGCUGGUGGUUUGAAGAAGACCUGACAGCGCACUUUAGUGAGUCUAAGAGUAUCUUGCACCCAGGAGUAUCAACCAUCAACCAACCCUGUGUGUAAAGCAGUGGACCAGGUCCUGGAGAAAUCAAGCCGGAAGAGAAAGUGAGAUUCUUCUGGAAGUUGAAGGAGUGAGAACACACGCAGGAAGAUGCUGUUGGCCUGAUAGUGAAAUUCAUUUGUACGUGGCUGCGUUCCCCUAACUUCCCUAUCUGGAGGCCCCACGUCUCUGCUAAACUCUCUGAGCUGGGUCUGCAGGGAGCUGGGAUGCAAGAGCAACUGCUGUGCCCACGCAAUUAAACAAGAAUGCUCCAUCUGACAGUUCCACUGUGAAAGUUUUCAAAUAGUGUUGGGAAUGUUUACAUAAUUGUUCAAAAGAGGCUUUUUCAAUGUACCUGUUUACACGCUUUACUUUUGGAAAUUCUUUCAGCAAUCAGGCCUUGGAGAGCUCUCAGCCUGUACUUGCCACCCUUGAUUGCCGAGGGAGGAAUGAAAGGCCUGUCAGUGAAUCGCUGGGAAAACAUUCCCUAACAAACGCCCUCUAAUGAGGGGGUGCUGAGAGCAGAGGGGAAGAGCUGGGGGGCCGGGAACAGGACGGUGGAGGUUUUGUUGUGGAGCCUUUUGGUGAAGGGAGCUCCAGACACCGUGCCUUUGUGUGCAAAUUUCCCACUGGGGCCAAGCGACUUUCCACAGUUUAAUUAAGUGGCUUUAGAGUAGUCCCGGAGUUGGCCUAACAAGCUACUCUUCAUGAAUGAAAGAUUUGUCCCCAGCAUUGGGGGCCGGGCUGGAAACAAAGUGGGCAGCAGUUAUGGCUGGCUCCGGCCGAUUUAAGUGCUUGCACGGCCGCUUGCCCGGGCGUGGCUGGGGUAGGCAGCUGCAGUAGUUGGCGUCAGUCCUUCUGGGACUCGUCUCACCUAGCUCACAGCAAAUAUGCCAGCCAUAUGCCCAGGAUCACAACCGAAUCAGCUCCAUCAGGCCUGGCAAAGAGGCAUUUAAAUUGCUAAUAUUGUACCAGGGAGGGAUGACAGCCCUGCCAAGGAUCAGCUCUGUAGGAUCCACAGAGACAAACCUGGGAGGUUCGGAAGGAGCUGCAGUGAGAAACACUAGAAGCUGGCUGUUAGGAGGCAGAAGAGGGGAUCCUUAGCAGAGAGACAUGGGGAGAAACCAUGGGGGGCCGUGUACUCAGGAUGUGGCAAUGGAGCUGGUGGGCCACCCGGGGCCCCUUUCUCAUCCAUUAUUUCUGAUAAAGGUCCAGCUGUAGUUUCCAUAAGGCUGCUUUGCAGGGGGAGGCCUCUUCCUCACCUUAGAACAAAAGAGGUUUUCUAGAAUGACCAAAAAAAAAAAAUUAUGAUGCAGGCUGGGUAGAAGAAGGGAGGGCCAGCCCUAGCCGUGAAAUGCUCCCUCAGCUACGCUUGUUGAAUAGCCCUGCGUUUGGCCAUGGUCCAUCCAGUAGGUUUGGGAUCUGGGGUCUUUCAGAGCCACUUUCCAGUGGAGGGUUCACUGAAUGUUUUUCUCUGACUGUAUUUUUAGAAAAAAUUAUGAUGACAGUUGUUAGGUCUCAGGCAGGCAGGCAGCACAUUCCAUUACAAAGUUAGCAUGAAAUCAAUAUGUAAAUAACCCUUUCUAACUGGCAGCUAUUUUUGAAGGCAGAACGCACCUGAUGUUGCAGGUUUGUUCCAGUUUACUUUAAAUACCUCUCCGUCCUCUGGGUCUUCGAAUGUGCUCACAUUCAAAAGAUCUUUCCUCCUUUUCACUUGAUCUUUGCUUCAUCUGGGAGAAUGGUAAUGCCACCACGAGCCUUGUCCUCAAACCUCCUCCAUCCUCUAAGAAUCAGAUCAACAAGACCCAUUGCAGGCUGGGAGUGCUAGUUCCCCUUCAGCGUGGUCAUUUUUCAAAAGCAUGGAUUGCUUCAGGAAGGGACAGGGUGGCAGAAGCCUUGGACAGACACGGAAGGAAUUAAAAGAGAGAGAAAGCCCGAAAGGCUGAGAUCAGGGUUGAAUCCAAAAUUCACACAUCACUGCCCAAUGCACAGAAGUCACUGCUAGGACAUAAAAGGUCAGAGGAUCCCAGCCAUGGGAGGGACCAGGUUAUAACUGCGGCUCUAGCUCAACAAGAAGAAACAGGUCUUGAGGUACUCCUGAGGGAGUAAGGAGCCCAAAGGUCUUUGAAAAGUCCCUCCUUAAUAGUGAGUUUUUAUAGUUGUUUGACUUUUAAGUAGCUGUGCUCUGUGCAUAUGUACUAAAAACAGAAAUACUUCUGGAAUGUUCGGUGUCAGGUAUGGAUGGUGCCUGAAAGCCCACUAUGGCUUGUGGAGUGUGUGUGUGUGUGUGUGUGUGCGCGCGCGCACGCUUCUUUUCUGAAGUUCAAGCAGGGACCUGGUAAUAGUAAUGAUUGCUACAAUUAAUUGAGCACCUACAUGCCACUUCCUUUUUUGUAAGUGUUAUGGGCUUGAACAGUUUUGAAGUCUUAUUGUUGAGCUGAAUCCACCUUCCUGUAACUUAUGUCCAUGACCUUACACCCUAAGGCUUCAUCUUCAGUUAGAAUAGUCCUCAAGACAUGUGGUAUCUCUCUCUGAGACUACUCUUCUCCAGGCUAAAUAUUUUCCAUUCUUCCAUAGUUGUUCUCUCCCCCAAGUAGAUUUCAUCAGGCCCAAUUGUUGCCUCCAUGUCCUUGCCAUUUGGUGAGUCUCUGGAGGGAAUCAGGGUCAAAUACUCCUUUUGAGACUUUUUUAGUGUCUAAAUACAAAAAGAAUAUCUCCUGGUUGAAAAGGGUGCAUUUGGGAUGAAGCUUUAACUUUUUUAGUUCAUGGAGCUCUGCACUUUUAUUGUGUAAGGGUGGUCAGGUGAACUAGCAAUUCGCCCUGUUAUCUCUGGGUCCGUAGGACCACUGGGGAUGGGGAGUUAUUACCAGAAAGCCCUGUUUCCGCUUGGUGUAAAGAAAGAUUUUCUAAUGAAAAGAAGCAUACAAUGGCAGACAGUGCUUUAAGUGGCAACGAGUGUCCUAAAAACUGGAGGUGUCUCAGCAAAGGUGGGUACUGCAGAUGUCACUUGCCCACUGAGUCGAGGCUUCCACAAAUGGCUCCUAAGGCACCUUCUGACUCCGGGAUUCUGGUUUCUCACUCACACAUUUACUGAACCAGCUGCAAGGUGCUGUGAGGGGAUUCACACUUGGUAUGAACAGUGGGAAGAGGAACUAUUUUUUUUAUUGCAGCAAAAUACACAUAAAAUUUACCAUCUUAACCAUUUUAACUAUAUAGUUCAGUGGCAUUAACUACAUUCAAAUUGCUGUGCAACCAUCACCACCAUCCAUCCAUAGAACUGAAACUAUAUCCAUUAAAUGACAACUCCCCAUUUUCCAUUCACCCCAUCCCUGACAACCACCAUUCUACUUUCUAUCUCUAUAUAUCUGACUAUCUUUAUGUACUUCAUAUAAGCAGAAUGAUUCAGUAUUUGUCUUUUUGUGUCUAGAUUAUUUCACUUAGCAUAUUAUUCAACCAUGUUGCCAUGUAUGUCACAUUUUCUUUCCUCUUUAAGA